rnacentral:rRNA from 1 species
AGUGAACGCUGGCGGCAGGCCUAACACAUGCAAGUCGAGCGGGCAGCACGGGUAGCAAUACCUGGUGGCGAGCGGCGGACGGGUGAGGAAUACAUCGGAAUCUGACCUUGUUGUGGGGGAUAACGUAGGGAAACUUACGCUAAUACCGCAUAAGACCGAGGAGGUGAAAGCGGGGGAUCGAAAGACCUCGCGCGACAAGAUGAGCCGAUGUCGGAUUAGCUAGNGGCGGGUAAAGGCCCACCAAGGCGACGAUCCGUAGCUGGUCUGAGAGGAUGAUCAGCCACACUGGAACU